rnacentral:rRNA from 1 species
CUUAGUGGCGGACGGGUGAGUAACGCGUGGGCAACCUGCCCCGUGCCGGGGGAUACCGCCUGGAAACAGGCGCUAAUACCGCAUAAGCGCAUACAGCCGCAUGGCAGUAUGCGGAAAGCUCCGGCGGCACGGGAUGGGCCCGCGCCCGAUUAGCCAGUUGGCGGGGUAACGGCCCACCAAAGCGACGAUCGGUAGCCGGCCUGAGAGGGCGGACGGCCACAUUGGGACUGAGACACGGCCCAAACUCCUACGGAAGGCAGCAGG